ACACAUGCAAGUCGAGCGGGGGAAGUUGCUUCGGUAACUGACCUAGCGGCGGACGGGUGAGUAAUGCUUAGGAAUCUGCCUAUUAGUGGGGGACAACAUCUCGAAAGGGAUGCUAAUACCGCAUACGUCCUACGGGAGAAAGCAGGGGACCUUCGGGCCUUGCGCUAAUAGAUGAGCCUAAGUCGGAUUAGCUAGUUGGUGGGGUAAAGGCCUACCAAGGCGACGAUCUGUAGCGGGUCUGAGAGGAUGAUCCGCCACACUGGGACUGAGACACGGCCCAGACUCCUACGGGAGGCAGCAGUGGGGAAUAUUGGACAAUGGGGGGAACCCUGAUCCAGCCAUGCCGCGUGUGUGAAGAAGGCCUUUUGGUUGUAAAGCACUUUAAGCGAGGAGGAGGCUACCGAGAUUAAUACUCUUGGAUAGUGGACGUUACUCGCAGAAUAAGCACCGGCUAACUCUGUGCCAGCAGCCGCGGUAAUACAGAGGGUGCAAGCGUUAAUCGGAUUUACUGGGCGUAAAGCGCGCGUAGGUGGCCAAUUAAGUCAAAUGUGAAAUCCCCGAGCUUAACUUGGGAAUUGCAUUCGAUACUGGUUGGCUAGAGUAUGGGAGAGGAUGGUAGAAUUCCAGGUGUAGCGGUGAAAUGCGUAGAGAUCUGGAGGAAUACCGAUGGCGAAGCAGCCAUCUGGGCCUAAUACUGACACUGAGUGCGAAAGCAUGGGGAGCAAACAGGAUUAGAUACCCUGGUAGUCCAUGCCGUAAACGAUGUCUACUAGCCGUUGGGGC
rnacentral:rRNA from 1 species